AAGAACUUAUUAAUCGGACGAGAAUGAAGAUA
rnacentral:tRNA from 1 species